rnacentral:tRNA from 1 species
GGUCCCAUCGUCUAGUGGUCAGGACUCUGGAUUUUCAUUCCAGUAACAGGGGUUCGAUUCCCCUUGGGACUACCA